UACGGGGGGGGCAAGCGUUGUUCGGAAUUACUGGGCGUAAGGGGCGCGUAGGCGGCCUUCUAAGUCGAACGUGAAAUCCCCGGGCUCAACCCGGGAACUGCGUCCGAUACUGGCAGGCUUGAAUCCGGGAGAGGGAUGUGGAAUUCCAGGUGUAGCGGUGAAAUGCGUAGAUAUCUGGAGGAACACCGGUGGCGAAGGCGGCAUCCUGGACCGGUAUUGACGCUGAGGCGCGAAAGCCAGGGGAGCAAACGGG
rnacentral:rRNA from 1 species